CCUAAUACAUGCAAGUCGAACGCAUUGUGGUUGAAAUGAUAUGAAGAACUUGUUCAGUAUUUGAUUUUCAACAUUGCAAUGAGUGGCGAACGGGUGAGUAACACGUGGGAAACCUACCUCUUAGCAGGGGAUAACAUUUGGAAACAAAUGCUAAUACCGUAUAAUAAUUAAAACCGCAUGGUUUUAGUUUAAAAGAUGGUCUUGCUAUCACUAAGAGAUGGUCCCGCGGUGUAUUAGUUAGUUGGUGAGGUAAUGGCUCACCAAGGCAAUGAUACAUAGCUGAGUUGAGAGACUGACCGGCCACAAUGGGACUGAGACACGGCCCAUACUCCUACGGGAGGCAGCAGUAGGGAAUCUUCCACAAUGGACGAAAGUCUGAUGGAGCAACGCCGCGUGUGUGAUGAAGGGUUUCGGCUCGUAAAACACUGUUGUAAGAGAAGAAUGACAUUGAGAGUAACUGUUCAAUGUGUGACGGUAUCUUACCAGAAAGGAACGGCUAAAUACGUG
rnacentral:rRNA from 1 species